rnacentral:rRNA from 1 species
GAUGAACGCUGGCGGUGUGCCUAAUACAUGCAAGUCGAGCGAACAGACGAGGAGCUUACUCCUCUUACGUUAGCGGCGGACGGGGGAGUAACACGUGGAUAACCUACCUAUAAGACUGGGAUAAAUUCGGGAAACCGGAGCUAAUACCGGAUAAAAUGUUCAACCGCAUGGUUCAACACUUAAAGACGGUCUUGCUGUCGCUUUGACAUGGAUCCGCGUCGCAUUAGCUAGUUGGUAAGGUAACGGCUUACCAAGGCAACGAUGCGUAGCCGACCUGAGAGGGUGAUCGGCCACACUGGAACUGAGACACGGUCCAGACUCCUACGGGAGGCAGCAGUAGGGAAUAUUCCGCAAUGGGCGCAAGCCUGACGGAGCAACGCCGCGUGAGUGAAGAAGGUCUUCGGAUCGUAAAACUCUGUUAUUAGGGAAGAACAAAUGUGUAAGUAACUAUGCACGUAUUGACGUUACCUAAUCAGAAAGCCACGGCUAACUACGUG